CACGUAGGGUGCGAGCGUUGUCCGGAAUUAUUGGGCGUAAAGAGCUCGUAGGCGGUGUGUCGCGUCGGCCGUGAAAACCUGCAGCUUAACUGUGGGCGUGCGGUCGAUACGGGCAUCACUGGAGUUCGGCAGGGGAGACUGGAAUUCCUGGUGUAGUGGUGAAAUGCGUAGAUAUCGGGAGGAACACCAGUGGCGAAGGCGGCAUCCUGGACCGGCAUUGACGCUGAUGAGCGAAAGCUAGGGGAGCAAACGGG
rnacentral:rRNA from 1 species